GAAUGUUGUCGAACUAUCUUUUAACUACAAAAUUUUACGAGUUUAUGACUUUUCUUCUAUUUCCUUGUAAAUACAGACUAGGGUUCAUAACAAAACAAGGCUGAAGAACAUUAUUCGACAAUCAAAGGCAGAGGAAUCAGUUGUUCGAAGUAGAAUGCAGCCUUUGGAGGUUAUUUUGUGAGAGAUGAUUGAUCAUCUCCACACUGUUAUUGAUCCUACCGUGUUUGUAGAGCUCUGCCGAGAGUUCUGAGACCGGAUGGAGCAGGAUGUAAUGCAUAUCUUGGAAGAUUAGAAAGAGGAGUAGAAAGACUUGCGCGUCGCAUUUUCUGUAAGCUGCUCUUCAUCCGUUGAACUUAACCUGGAUGACAUAUUUGCAUCAGAAAUGCAAAAGACCUCGUGGGAACUCAUUGAAAAAAAGGA